rnacentral:lncRNA from 1 species
GUUUGCGACUGUCUUACUAUAUUUAACGAUAGAUAAUAAAUAAUCUUGAAUUUCUUAUGUAAAACGACGUGGCACUUAUUAUGUAUAAAGGAUAUUUAAUUCGCCGUUUAAAUGAAGACCAAUUCAACAAUUACAGGCUCCACUACAACACAACACAAGAUUUGCCAAAUAUGUCUGGUGAUAUUGUCAAAAUCCACUUGAUGCGUUUGAG